UAAUACAGAGGGGGCAAGCGUUAUUCGGAAUUAUUGGGCGUAAAGGGCGCGUAGGCGGCUUUUCAAGUGACGGGUGAAAUCCCUCGGCUUAACCGAGGAACUGCCUGUCAGACUGGAAGGCUUGAGACCGGGAGAGGUGAGUGGAAUUCCCAGUGUAGCGGUGAAAUGCGUAGAUAUUGGGAGGAACACCAGUGGCGAAGGCGGCUCAC
rnacentral:rRNA from 1 species